rnacentral:rRNA from 1 species
UAGGGAAUCUUCCGCAAUGGGCGAAAGCCUGACGGAGCAACGCCGCGUGAGUGAUGAAGGUCUUCGGAUCGUAAAACUCUGUUAUUAGGGAAGAACAAAUGUGUAAGUAACUAUGCCCGUCUUGACGGUACCUAAUCAGAAAGCCACGGCUAACUACGUGCCAGCAGCCGCGGUAAUACGUAGGUGGCAAGCGUUCUCCGGAAUUAUUGGGCGUAAAGCGCGCGUAGGCGGUUUUUUAAGUCUGAUGUGAAAGCCCACGGCUCAACCGUGGAGGGUCAUUGGAAACUGGAAAACUUGAGUGCAGAAGAGGAAAGUGGAAUUCCAUGUGUAGCGGUGAAAUGCGCAGAGAUAUGGAGGAACACCAGUGGCGAAGGCGACUUUCUGGUCUGUAACUGACGCUGAUGUGCGAAAGCGUGGGGAUCAAACAGG